GACGAACGCUGGCGGCGUGCUUAACACAUGCAAGUCGAACGGAAAGGCCCCUUUGGGGGUUCUCGAGUGGCGAACGGGUGAGUAACACGUGAGUAACCUGCCCUUGACUUCGGGAUAACUUCAGGAAACUGGGGCUAAUACCGGCUAGGAAUCCUUGCUGCAUGGUGGGGGUUGGUAAGCUUCGGCGGUUUUGGAUGGACUCGCGGCUUAUCAGCUUGUUGGUGGGGUAGUGGCUUACCAAGGCUUGGACGGGUAGCCGGCCUGAGAGGGCGACCGGCCACAUUGGGACUGAGAGACGGCCCAGACGCCGACGGGAGGCAGCAGUGGGGAAUAUUGCACCAGGGGCGGAAGCCUGAUGCAGCAAGGCCGCGGGCGGGAUGACGGUCUUCGGGUUGGAAACCGCUUUCAGCAGGGGCGAAGCUUGUGGUGACGGUACCUGCAGAAGAAGCACCGGCUAACUACGUG
rnacentral:rRNA from 1 species